AGGGUUCGAUUCUGGCUCAGGAUGAACGCUAGCGACAGGCUUAACACAUGCAAGUCGAGGGGCAUCACGGGGGUAGCAAUACAACUGGUGGCGACCGGCGCACGGGUGAGUAACGCGUAUGCAACCUACCUAUCAGAGGGGAAUAACCCGGCGAAAGUCGGACUAAUACCGCAUAAAACAGGGGCACCGCAUGGUGAUAUUUGUUAAAGAAAUUCGCUGAUAGAUGGGCAUGCGUUCCAUUAGGUAGUUGGUGAGGUAACGGCUCACCAAGCCGACGAUGGAUAGGGGAACUGAGAGGUUGGUCCCCCACACUGGUACUGAGACACGGACCAGACUCCUACGGGAGGCAGCAGUGAGGAAUAUUGGUCAAUGGGCGGGAGCCUGAACCAGCCAAGUCGCGUGAAGGAAAGAAGGAUCUAUGGUUCGUAAACUUCUUUUGCAGGGGAAUAAAGUGCAGGACGUGUCCUGUUUUGUAUGUACCCUGAGAAUAAGGAUCGGCUAACUCCGUGCCAGCAGCAGC
rnacentral:rRNA from 1 species